CAACUUAGGAGUUUGUUAUGGCAAAGAAGUGGAAUAUUUUGCAAUGGCUGAGCCAAUCACCUGAUCUCAACCUGAUCGAGCAUGUUUUUCACUUGCUUAGGACAAAACUUAAGGCAGAAAGAACCACGAACAAACAAUAACUGAUGACAGCUGCAGUAAAGGCCUGGCAAAUCAGCACAUAGCAGGAAACCUAGUGUUUGGUGAUGUCCUUGCGGUUCAGACUUCGAACAGUCAUUGUCUGCAAAGAAUUUUCGACAACG